GUCCACGCCCUAAACGAUGAUUACUCGAUGUGUGCGAUACACUGUACGCGUCUGAGCGAAAGCAUUAAGUAAUCCACCUGGGGAGUACGGCCGCAAGGCUGAAACUCAAAGGAAUUGACGGGGGCCCGCACAAGCGGAGGAGCAUGUGGUUUAAUUCGAUGAUACGCGAGGAACCUUACCAGGGCUUGAAAGUUAGGGAAUGAUCUGGAAACAGGUCAGUCAGCAAUGACCCGAAACUAGGUGCUGCAUGGCUGUCGU
rnacentral:rRNA from 1 species